GACGAACGCUGGCGGCGUGCUUAACACAUGCAAGUCGAACGGAAAGGCCCUGCUUUUGUGGGGUGCUCGAGUGGCGAACGGGUGAGUAACACGUGAGUAACCUGCCCUUGACUUUGGGAUAACUUCAGGAAACUGGGGCUAAUACCGGAUAGGAGCUCCUGCUGCAUGGUGGGGGUUGGAAAGUUUCGGCGGUUGGGGAUGGACUCGCGGCUUAUCAGCUUGUUGGUGGGGUAGUGGCUUACCAAGGCUUUGACGGGUAGCCGGCCUGAGAGGGUGACCGGCGACAUUGGUACUGAGAGACGGCGCAGACUGCUACGGGAGGCAGUAGGGGGGAAUAUUGUACAGUGGGCGGAAGCCUGAUGCAGCAACGCCGCGUGCGUGAAGACGGCCUGCGGGGUGUAAACCGCUGUCGCCUGUGACGAAGCGUGAGUGACGGUAAUGGGUAAAGAAGCACCGGCUAACUACGUG
rnacentral:rRNA from 1 species